rnacentral:rRNA from 1 species
UUUUAAAUUGAGAGUUUGAUCCUGGCUCAGGACGAACGCUGGCGGCGUGCCUAACACAUGCAAGUCGAGCGAUGAAACUUCCUUCGGGAAGUGGAUUAGCGGCAGACGGGUGAGUAACACGUGGGUAACCUGCCUCAAAGAGUGGGAUAGCCUCCCGAAAGGGAGAUUAAUACCGCAUAACAUUAUUUUAUGGCAUCAUAAAAUAAUCAAAGGAGCAAUCCGCUUUGAGAUGGACCCGCGGCGCAUUAGCUAGUUGGUGAGGUAACGGCUCACCAAGGCAACGAUGCGUAGCCGACCUGAGAGGGUGAUCGGCCACAUUGGAACUGAGACACGGUCCAGACUCCUACGGGAGGCAGCAGUGGGGAAUAUUGCGCAAUGGGGGAAACCCUGACGCAGCAACGCCGCGUGAGUGAUGAAGGUUUUCGGAUCGUAAAACUCUGUCUUUAGGGACGAUAAUGACGGUACCUAAGGAGGAAGCCACGGCUAACUACGUGCCAGCAGCCGCGGUAAUACGUAGGUGGCAAGCGUUGUCCGGAUU